UAAAGACUGUCGAGGGAGCAACCAUCUUGAUUGGUUGGGGGUUAGAGGAAGAAAAUUUGGAGCAAAAGGAGGACAUUUUAGAGUGAUUUAAAUGAAUCCCAGUUCUUUUGAAUGAAGGUUGGACAAUUCGAUCGCAGUGGGUAUCUCAUUCUCAGUGUCGAUCUGAAUGGAGAAGUUGAAAUCUGUAGUUGCAGACAGUCUGAUGCUGAUGGUGAUGAUUAAAGACUUGUCAGACUUAAAGAGUACUCUCUUUGCAAAGAAUAAUGAUGUUGUUGUGGCAUCAAAGCAAUGGGCAACUAAUGCUAUCGUUGUGGAGAUUACACUAAAUGCCUGAGUUGUUACUCCCAGUUGGUGCCUCAUUCUUAGUGUCAAUCUGAGUGGAGAAGUUGAAAUCUGCUGUUUCAGACCGUCUGAAGCUGAUGGUAGCGGCUAGCGGUCAUACUGAUCUCCGUUCCCUUUUUAUCUUCCCUUCUUGAUUUCUUUACUCAU